AAAUUGAAGAGUUUGAUCAUGGCUCAGAUUGAACGCUGGCGGCAGGCCUAACACAUGCAAGUCGAACGGUAGCACAAAGGAGCUUGCU
rnacentral:rRNA from 1 species